UACGUAGGGUGCAAGCGUUGUCCGGAAUUAUUGGGCGUAAAGAGCUCGUAGGCGGCUUGUCACGUCGACUGUGAAAACCCGGGGCUCAACUCCGGGCCUGCAGUCGAUACGGGCUGGCUUGAGUGCGGUAGGGGAGACUGGAAUUCCUGGUGUAGCGGUGAAAUGCGUAGAUAUCAAGAGGAACACCAGUGGCGAAGGCGAGUCCCUGGACAACACCUGACACUGAGGCACGAAAGCUAGGGGAGCAAACAGG
rnacentral:rRNA from 1 species